GGAUGAAGCUCAUCUAAGACUUAAUUGAUGACUCCGGAGGAGGGACUCCUUUACGCCAACUGCAUGGAACUACCUGCAGGUUUGUUCGAAAUUCACAGUAUUGCUCGCUACCUUCCGGCAUGGACUUCUCACCGGUUGCCCACUACGGACUGCAGUCGGAUCUCACAUAGGAUCGCUAUCUAUAGCUUCUGGACAAGUAUUCGUCAUUUGUGACAGAAUGUAUGCGGGACGAGACACUUGUGUGGUGGACGGCUUCACCCGGCCAUGGAGAGACCCCAAUGAUUGGUUGCCUCACCCUCCAGGGUCUCGAGUACUGGCAUGAUUACAUUCGGUGCGAACCGCCAUAUGGAGCGGUUCUCCAACUGGCUGCCGGACCCUCAGCGAGGCGAGGGACGAGUUUUCCAAACUUGGUCUCCUUCGGGGCGUACGCAUCCCGUUUACCUACAGGAUACUCUGGGUUUUUGCUUCAGACCGAAUUCCUGGAAGUGUCGUUUCGCCUGGCCAAACCACUUCGGAGGAGUCCUGCGUGCUUUCCCCUUUUUGCUCGAGUUUGCCAUGGGAAGGCAAUCUACGACUCCCUGUCUCUUAAUGUCCCACUUGGGAUCCACAGGGGUAGCCUGCCACGACUUAUGUUUGGGUCCCAAUGGCGGUCCUUAUCAUGACUGUCCCCAUUGUCUGGCUGAGUUGCCCUCUCAGGGUAGGAUCGUAUGGGGCCAUUCACGUCCUAUGUCAGCUAGUGGACGACUCAUGUGCGUUUCUCAAGAUUCUGGCAUUGCUAAGGAUCUCUUGGUCUGCAGUCUACCAAGAGGAGUAUACCGUACGGGAGCCCUAUCUCUUGACAGUUUUUUCCGCUUACGGUUUCCCCCCAGUACAUCUUGUAUUUCAUCGCGUUCUGACGUCAUGGUAUCGACGUGUCUUCUUCCUUCUUGCCGUUCAGUACAUCGGCUUCUGCACAACACAUAUUUCAUUUUUAUUCGUCCUCUGUGUCGUACCCCUAUUCUCCGGAUAGGCCACAGCUCUGUUGACAGAUUGUACACGACCAUGUAGAUCCAGGAUCUGGCUCUUUCGUCCGUCUACUCAUGGACAGCUGUUUAUUUCUGCGUAUGGCCGUUUUGGACUGUUUCUGCAUCUUCGCUCGCCCGUUGGAUUUGGUGGAUCCUCUCAUUGACUGACCUUGAGUUCCUCUGUGACACUUUUGGUUCGGGGUGCUGUCACCUCAACAAUUUUGGAAGCCGUUGGGUCCCUUCUGCAUUUUCUCUACACCGCUGCUUUGUUUAGGGAAUCAGUUUUUCCAUUCUCCUUUAUUUCAGUCCUCUAUCUCAUAUUGCUUCUGGUUCUACUAUUUGGGCGUUAAAAUUGCAAAUAUGAAGCCUCCUGUCCUGCCAUAAAAUUAGGGAUUAUUCUAGCCUCGGUGAGGGAAUAAUCUAAAUUUUAUUAAAGACAGGAGGCGAAUAUUUCCCCCCCUUUUUUUACGUUCCCUCCCUGGAUCUGGGUUUUAUUCUAUUAUAAAUAAUUGGGGAUAUUGUUUAUGUUUUGUGAAUGCAUGGUUUUACAUAAUAAAGGUUAUUUCUAAUAUUCAGUGAUGGUUGUCCGUGUGCGUUUUAUUCAUCAUGUUUGUGUUGUAAUUAUGUUUCGUCAAUGCCUUUUAGCUUAGGUACAUACUAGGUCUUCAUAAGAUCUGUAGACUUUGUUUAUUCAUCAGGUAUUAUGAUGUGAAAGUGAUAUUGUAUGGAUAUGACAUCUUGCCUUGACAGUUUACUUUCACAAUGUUUUCUGUUUUCUUGCAGUGUAAUCUGUUUUCUCUCUGGGCUUGACGAUUGUUUCUCUGGAUGUGUCUGCUACA